CGCCGCCGAUCCCAUUGAGGAGCCGCCGCCGAUGACGGGAGACGCCGCCUAUCUCGUUGAGGAGCCGCCGCCGAUGACGGGAGACGCCGCACGCUGACCUACCCCCUCCCCAAUCCUUAGCAUCGCACCUCUUCCCGUCUGGCGCCUCCUACCUUGGCUGGGCGGUGGCCUCGAGUGCCUCUUCUUCCCCAAUGAGGCCUCAACCAACGACGCUGCACCUCGGUGAUGACUCCGCCCCACGAUUCCCAUCGGUCGGCGCCUCGCCAGCAGUGACCUCCCCCUCCAUGUAUCCUGUGAUCCGGUCAUGUGCCACCGCCUCUCUAGGCGCUUAGAUCCAGGCUUCCAGAAGGGGAUAGGGGUGGAGGUGGCAGCGGAGGGGACAGGGAUGUGGACCGGAGAAACUACAUGGUGGAGGCACAACAAAGCGUUCAAGCACGGCACCCCAUCGCAUGCAGCUGCAGCCAGCGGCAGGUGUUGGGCACUUUGAGGUAUGCAAACCUUCUCAGAGCAAGGGGAGCAAGAGUACCGAUCAACCGUUCUUCUUUCUUCCUUGGAGCUCCACUGUUUUGGAUGAACUAGACUAACCCUAGAAGGGAUGAAGGUCAUCCACGAGGUGUCUCAAGGUGAACCCCGUGGUACCCGACCAAGUGGCUGGAGGGAAUGGUGUAUGCUCACAAGUUUGUAUAGACCAAUUUGUUUCACUCGGACAAGAAUCCCAUGAACCUUAAUGUGGCCUUUAAGUUUCAGGUCCUUGGGGUUGGAUGCGGCAACUCGCGGCUCGAAGACAAUCUUUUGUGGUGGGGCGUCGCCGCCGCCGGCGGCACCUGCAUAGACCGUAUCGCUGGGAACGAAGAGAUGCUCCCCUGAUUUGGAGCUGUAGAAAGGAAGUGGUUGCAGACACAAAGUGGGGACACACAACUCCCAGUCAUAAUAUUCUUUAUCUUGGCUCGUUGUUUGGGGAUGGACGCAUCAAUCUGAUGGCGCUCUCCUCCAUGCCAAACGGAUCCUUGGUUUGGAGGCGUGCGGCGCCGACGAUGACAACCUUUCUAUCGACGCAAGGGCAGCAGGAGCUCAUGACGCUGUUGAUGCCACCACCAUGCAUGGGGUUGAUGCAAGGUGGGACAAUGCGAUCACUAAUGGGGAGAACAUAAAACUUCAAUUGAGGGCACUGUGAUUCUCUAGCUACAUGUAUCAUGGUCACCAACCACACAUGUAAAAACCAUGUCUCCCUACUGUAAUUUGAUGAUUUAUUUACAUGUGGCACAGAAUAGUUCAGAGUUCACUCCGAGAAAGAAUUGCUUUGCAUGUACAUUUGCUAAAAGACGGAUGUGCUGAACUUUCGACGGUUCCGAUUGGUCGCUGACAUAACCUUUCCUCUUUUCAUUGAUAGGUCCAAAAGAGAUCCUUAUUUCACCUUUGUUUAUAGGUAUUCAACGUGAGGAAUUUUAUACUUUUGGAGUGGAGCUAUCAAAUAUAUAUUAUGAGUUUCUAAAACAUCUAUUAUAAGGAGUUGAACAGAGUUUCCUCUGCCCCGGCAGAUUCUGAGAAAACCAACCAGCAGAGAACAUGAACAAAUAUAGUGACGAGAAAGGGUGGAGCCGAGUACACCACACAUGGAUAUGAUGGUCUCCCCUAUGUUCUUUUUGGCAAUCCAGUUAAUCACUGACUCAACUUUGUAUGGGUGAGCUAACAAGCCCGUGUUAUGUCUUCCAUCUUUCUUUGGCGCUUCCGAUGCACAAAUGGUGGCGGUGAAGCAGCAUGCCCGAGAGAGCGUGCAGGGGAGGAAGGAGUUCCUGGUGGAGGUGCUGAUACUGGCGGUGCUCAGCCACCCUAACUUCGUCAGCCUGAUCGGCUUCUGCGCGCAGGGGACAAGCGGCUGCUGUUGUACGAGUACAUGCCCUUCGGCAGCCUAGAGAGUCAUCUCUUUGAAUAUGGAACCAGAUGUAGUGAAAUGUUUGCAUACCAUGUCUGGAUUCAACAAGCUAUUUACUGAUGGCUGAUUUUUAAGGAUGUCUUAUGAAGUUGUGAUUCUGCGAGGAAAAGCUCGUGAGUGGAAUUAUUCAGUAUGGUGCUUGUGAUGUUUCCUUCAUAGCUCUUUUACAAUCAGCCAUUCCUCUAUUAUUAUUCGUAAAUGGUCCUCUAAAUCCUAAAUACACAAUAGAUUUUUUGUUGCACUCAUCUGUGUGUUACAAUCUAUUUCUUUCAUAUUUUUUCAGCGGUUCCAUUAUAUAUAUUCACUUUGGAAGGCAAAAAUUAUAUGUUGGCUGGUUGCCCAAGAAAUCAAAAAGGCUAAAUCUUGAGUUGUAUGGAGCAUGGUCAUUUGCUUGAAGUUUCCAAUGGACUGUAUAUACCAUUGAGUGAGAGGAAUUAUUCCAUGAGUGUGGACAAAUUGAGCUGAUCGAUUGAUUGAGAAAAUAUUGUGUGGAUGUUCUCAGAUCUCCUUGCUCCACUACUCCUUGGAUUAUUACCUUUGUCCAUAUAUUUUGGUUUAUCUGAGCUGAAGGUAACCUUCUUAAACUAUCCAUAAAAAUAGUUCAAAUUGUUAAUUAAUUGUUUGCUUAAUUGUGUUGUCUAUAUAUUCUUUUGCACAUAGAAGAUAUAACCUGCAAAUCUGCACAUGCUUUUGCCAAUGUAUCCAUCCUGAUAUUUCUUAUAAUGUGGAAGUUAUCAGAGCCCUUUUUUAAGCAUCCACUUUGAGUUCACCGGUGGCAGGUAGCUUGUACAAUACUGAAUUUUCAAGGUAACAAAAUCAGUUAUGCGUUGCAGCAAAAUCGAAUGUGGUAGAGAAAAUAUUCAGGCUUCGUAGCGAAACAAUGCCUCUGUUAGGAUAGUACACCCAGAUCCCCGAUGCAUUUGGUUUAUUAUGAUGUAUUGAUACUGAAGUUUGUACCAUAUCUUGAAUU